UACGGAGGAUCCAAGCGUUAUCCGGAAUCAUUGGGUUUAAAGGGUCCGUAGGCGGCCCGAUAAGUCAGUGGUGAAAUCUCCCGGCUCAACCGGGAAAUGGCCAUUGAUACUGUCGGGCUUGAAUUAUUAGGAAGUAACUAGAAUAUGUAGUGUAGCGGUGAAAUGCUUAGAUAUUACAUGGAAUACCAAUUGCGAAGGCAGGUUACUACUAAUGGAUUGACGCUGAUGGACGAAAGCGUGGGGAGCAAACAGG
rnacentral:rRNA from 1 species